rnacentral:rRNA from 1 species
CCUACGGGAGGCAGCAGUAAGGAAUAUUGGUCAAUGGACGAAAGUCUGAACCAGCCAUGCCGCGUGAAGGAUUAAGGCCCUCUGGGUUGUAAACUUCUUUUAUCUGGGACGAAAAAAGGGUAUUCUUACUCACUUGACGGUACCAGAGGAAUAAGCACCGGCUAACUCCGUGCCAGCAGCCGCGGUAAUACGGAGGGUGCAAGCGUUAUCCGGAUUUACUGGGUUUAAAGGGUGCGUAGGUGGGUUUGUAAGUCAGUGGUGAAAUCUCCGAGCUUAACUCGGAAACUGCCAUUGAUACUAUAGAUCUUGAAUUAUCUGGAGGUAAGCGGAAUAUGUCAUGUAGCGGUGAAAUGCUUAGAUAUGACAUAGAACACCAAUUGCGAAGGCAGCUUACUACGGAUAUAUUGACACUGAGGCACGAAAGCGUGGGGAUCAAACAGGAUUAGAUACCCUAGUAGUC